UGGGGAAUCUUGCACAAUGGGGGCAACCCUGAUGCAGCGACGCCGCGUGAGCGAUGAAGCCCUUCGGGGCGUAAAGCUCUUUCGACCGGAACGAUAAUGACGGUACCGGGAGAAGAAGCUGCGGCUAACUACGUGCCAGCAGCCGCGGUAAUACGUAGGCAGCAAGCGUUGUUCGGAGUUACUGGGCGUAAAGGGUGUGUAGGCGGUUCUCUAAGUUUGGUGUGAAAUCUCCCGGCUUAACCGGGAGGGUGCGCCGAAAACUGGGGAGCUAGAGUGCGGGAAGGGAUAGUGGAAUUCCUGGUGUAGCGGUGAAAUGCGUAGAUAUCAGGAGGAACACCGGUGGUGUAGACGGCUCUCUGGACCGUAACUGACGCUGAGACACGAAAGCGUGGGUAGCAAACA
rnacentral:rRNA from 1 species